rnacentral:rRNA from 1 species
AUGAACGCUGGCGGCGUGCUUAACACAUGCAAGUCGACGGGAAAUAUUUCAUUGAGACUUCGGUGGAUUUGAUCUAUUUCUAGUGGCGGACGGGUGAGUAACGCGUGGGUAACCUGCCUUAUACAGGGGGGAUAACAGUCAGAAAUGGCUGCUAAUACCGCAUAAGCGCACAGAGCUGCAUGGCUCAGUGUGAAAAACUCCGGUGGUAUAAGAUGGACCCGCGUUGGAUUAGCUGGUUGGUGGGGUAACGGCCCACCAAGGCGACGAUCCAUAGCCGGCCUGAGAGGGUGAACGGCCACAUUGGGACUGAGACACGGCCCAGACUCCUACGGGAGGCAGCAGUGGGGAAUAUUGCACAAUGGAGGAAACUCUGAUGCAGCGACGCCGCGUGAGUGAAGAAGUAAUUCGUUAUGUAAAGCUCUAUCAGCAGGGAAGAUAGUGACGGUACCUGACUAAGAAGCUCCGGCUAAAUACGUG